rnacentral:rRNA from 1 species
CGCACCUACGGGGCGCAGCAGUGAGGAAUAUUGGUCAAUGGCCGGAAGGCUGAACCAGCCAAGCCGCGGGAGGGAGGAAGGCGCAGAGCGUCGCAGACCUCUUUUGCCGGGGGACAAAAGGCCGGACUCGUCCGGUCCUGAGGGUACCCGGAGAAAAAGCAUCGGCUAACUCCGUGCCAGAAGCGGCGGUAAUACGGAGGAUGCGAGCGUUAUCCGGAUUCAUGGGGUUAAAAGGGUGCG